rnacentral:rRNA from 1 species
GAGUUUGAUCCUGGCUCAGAUUGAACGCUGGCGGCGUGCUUAACACAUGCAAGUCGAACGCGAAAGUGGCUUCGGCCACGAGUAGAGUGGCGCACGGGUGAGUAACGCGUGGAUAAUCUGCCUCUGCAAUCGGAAUAACGACUGGAAACGGUCGCUAAUACCGGAUACGCUUAAGUUUUACCUCUUAAGGAAAGAUGACCUCUAUUUAUAAGUUAUCGUGCAGAGAUGAGUCCGCGUCCCAUUAGCUUGUUGGCGGGGUAACGGCCCACCAAGGCGACGAUGGGUAGCCGAUUUAAGAGGAUGAUCGGCCACAUUGGAACUGAAACACGGUCCAAACUCCUACGGGAGGCAGCAGUGGGGAAUAUUGCGCAAUGGGCGAAAGCCUGACGCAGCGACGCCGCGUGAGGGAUGAAGGUCUUCGGAUCGUAAACCUCUGUCAGAAGGGAAAAAUGUACAGUGCUCCAAUCAACAUUGUAUUGAUGGUACCUUCAGAGGAAGCACCGGCUAACUCCGUGCCAGCCGCCGCGGUAAUAC